GCGUUGGUGGCUCAGCGGUAGAAUUCUCACCUUCCAUGCAGGAGACCCAGGGUCAAUUCCCGGCCAGCGCA
rnacentral:tRNA from 1 species